UUUAUACUCCCUCCGUCCGGAAAUACUUGUCAUUGAAAUGGAUGUAUCUAGAUGUAUUUUAGUUCUAGAUACAUUCAUUUUCAUCCAUUUUGAUGACAAGUAAUUCCGGACGGAGGGAGUACAUU
rnacentral:pre_miRNA from 1 species